AUACGGAGGGUCCAAGCGUUAUCCGGAAUCAUUGGGUUUAAAGGGUCCGCAGGCGGUCAAUUAAGUCAGAGGUGAAAGACCAUCGCUCAACGAUGGAACUGCCUUUGAUACUGGUUGACUUGAGUUAUACGGAAGUAGAUAGAAUAAGUAGUGUAGCGGUGAAAUGCAUAGAUAUUACUUAGAAUACCGAUUGCGAAGGCAGUCUACUACGUAUAUACUGACGCUGAGGGACGAAAGCGUGGGGAGCGAACAGGAUUAGAAACCCUAGUAGUCC
rnacentral:rRNA from 1 species